rnacentral:rRNA from 1 species
GAUGAACGCUGGCGGCGUGCCUAAUACAUGCAAGUCGAGCGAACGGACGAGAAGCUUGCUUCUCUGAUGUUAGCGGCGGACGGGUGAGUAACACGUGGAUAACCUACCUAUAAGACUGGGAUAACUUCGUUAAACCGGAGCUAAUACCGGAUAAUAUUUUGAACCGCAUGGUUCAAAAGUGAACGACGGUCUUGCUGUCACUUAUAGAUGGAUCCGCGCUGCAUUAGCUAGUUGGUAAGGUAACGGCUUACCAAGGCAACGAUGUAUAGCCGACCUGAGAGGGUGAUCGGCCACACUGGAACUGAGACACGGUCCAGACUCCUACGGGAGGCAGCAGUAGGGAAUCUUCCGCAAUGGGCGAAAGCCUGACGGAGCAACGCCGCGUGAGUGAUGAAGGUCUUCGGAUCGUAAAACUCUGUUAUUAGGGAAGAACAGAUGUGUAAGUAACUGUGCACAUCUUGACGGUACCUAAUCAGAAAGCCACGGCUAACUACGUG